rnacentral:rRNA from 1 species
AUUUUGAACCGCAUGGUUCGAAAUUGAAAGGCGGCUUCGGCUGUCACUUAUGGAUGGACCCGCGUCGCAUUAGCUAGUUGGUGAGGUAACGGCUCACCAAGGCAACGAUGCGUAGCCGACCUGAGAGGGUGAUCGGCCACACUGGGACUGAGACACGGCCCAGACUCCUACGGGAGGCAGCAGUAGGGAAUCUUCCGCAAUGGACGAAAGUCUGACGGAGCAACGCCGCGUGAGUGAUGAAGGCUUUCGGGUCGUAAAACUCUGUUGUUAGGGAAGAACAAGUGCUAGUUGAAUAAGCUGGCACCUUGACGGUACCUAACCAGAAAGCCACGGCUAACUACGUGCCAGCAGCCGCGGUAAUACGUAGGUGGCAAGCGUUAUCCGGAAUUAUUGGGCGUAAAGCGCGCGCAGGUGGUUUCUUAAGUCUGAUGUGAAAGCCCACGGCUCAACCGUGGAGGGUCAUUGGAAACUGGGAGACUUGAGUGCAGAAGAGGAAAGUGGAAUUCCAUGUGUAGCGGUGAAAUGCGUAGAGAUAUGGAGGAACACCAGUGGCGAAGGCGACUUUCUGGUCUGUAACUGACACUGAGGCGCGAAAGCGUGGGGAGCAAACAGGA